CUGAGCUUACCUUACUGCAUCCCAUCUGUAUUCUACCUGCUUUGACAGAGAGCUGUUUUGCGGGGUCCGCAAACUCGGGGGGAAAUAUCCCGAACUGUCCAUAGUAGAGGCCUAUGACGACGAUAAUGAGUCGCCUAAAAUAGUUAUCUUUUAGUUGUGGAUAACGAAGUCAACACAUAUCCGUACUUGCUAGUGGGCGGUUACCACAGUGGACACCUCUAGAAUAAGUUGUGAAAAUUGUACUUCAGAGUGCUCGACAGAUGGAGAACAUGCGUGUUGAACAGACGAUGCCUCCCCAGCUGCUGUAGCUCCAGGAAAGGACGACUCGGUCAGGAAACAAGGAUUGAACCGGGCUAAACUCAAACAACGGAAGAUGCUGUAACCAGCCAGCUAAGGUCCUUCAGAUAAGGCUGGCAUGCAGGAGGCUGUUGUUUACCCUGGUAAGCUGCCCAUUGUCCCUGGUGGGAAUUCCCUUUGGGAGAGAGCAUCACGGGAACAAGGCUCAGCUCGACGCGAGCAGCUAACCGCAGAGGUACUACCGUUUCAUACACGGGGGCCUCAGUGCAUCCACUGGGAUCUGAUGCCAGAGCUGACAGGAGUGGCACCCGGUGUGGUCUUCUACGGCUGUAGUCCAUCUGCUUCAAGGGAGAUUUUCGUCCACACAACUGUUGCUCACGGGAUAUUUUCCCUUUUUUGGACCAUUAUCUGUAAACCCUAGAGAUGGUUGUGCAUCAAAAUCCGAGUACAUCAGCUGGUUCUGAAAUACUCAGACCAGACUGUCUGGCACCAGCAACCAUGCCAAGUUCAAAGUCACUUAAAUCCCCUUUCUUCCCCAUCCUGAUGCUUGGAUUGAACCUCAGCAAGUCAUCUUAUUCAAGUCUACAUGCCUAAAUGUAUUGAGUUACUGCCAUGUUAAUUGGCUGAUUAGCUAUUCAAAAUAACAAGUGUUUAAACAGGUGUAUCUAAUAAAG